CCUACGGGUGGCAGCAGUGGGGAAUAUUGGGCAAUGGGCGCAAGCCUGACCCAGCAACGCCGCGUGAAGGAAGAAGGCUUUCGGGUUGUAAACUUCUUUUCUCAGGGACGAAGCAAGUGACGGUACCUGCGGAAUAAGCCACGGCUAACUACGGGCCAGCAGCCGCGGUAAUACGUAGGGGGCAAGCGUUAUCCGGAUUUACUGGGUGUAAAGGGCGUGUAGGCGGGACUGCAAGUCAGAUGUGAAAGCCACGGGCUCAACCUGUGGCCUGCAUUUGAAACUGGAGUUCUUGAGUACUGGAGAGGCAGGCGGAAUGCCUAGUGUAGCGGUGAAAUGCGUAGAGAUUAGGAGGAACACCAGUGGCGAAGGCGGUCUCCUGGACAGCGACUGACGCUGAGGCGCGAAAGCGUGGGGAGCAAACAGGAUUAGAUACCCUUGUAGUC
rnacentral:rRNA from 1 species